GCUACUUCAACUGACCUUUGGGCCAUAAAUGGGAGUUUCUGCAGCAGUGUGUGACAGGAAGACUUCAGAGAAGUCCCCAAAAGUUCAGUAAACAAAAACAUUUGGAAAAAGAUCUAUGUACCACAGAAGGAAAUCUCCUUAACCAAGGUCUCAUAACUUACAUUCCUGUGGAAUUGGUGUGCCUCACGGCUUCAGCAGUGUCAUGGAAAAAGUGAUGACCUUACAUUCAUAAGUCUCCAGGUCCUAGUCCUGCUACCUACUAUGUGUUUGACCUUGGGUAAGUCAUAGCCUCCUUGUGCUUGAUCUUUCUCAUCUGUAAAAUUUUAUAAU
rnacentral:lncRNA from 1 species